ACUGCGCCCUUGUUUGGACAAGACGAGGAGGCGCACUCAGAGUCAGAGACCCCGGGGCAGAGACAGGGGCAAGAAGAAGGGGCCACCGAGACCCCAAGAGAGUCAGGGAGACAGACGCACCAAACGACCGACACAACCAGGGACAGAGUCUCACUCUUGUCACCCAGGCUGGAGUGAAAUGACAUGAUCUCAGCUCACUGAAACUUCUGCCUCCCAGGUUCAAGCAAUUCUCCUGCCUCAGCCUCGCGAGUAGCUGGGAUUACAGAUAUCCUUCGAGUUGGAUUUCGACUGGGUUCUGCCAGUGGGAUGUAUCCAUGCGAGAUUCUGGAACUAACAUCAGAGAGAGUCCAAGCUUCUAACUUUUAUCAGCGGCAGUGACAAUAGUCAAGCAGCAUUGAUGACAAACGGCAAGAGUUUAGAAAGUACCAGUGACGUGCCUGAUAGAAUCUCACCACAAGAUGGAAGCCAACUCGUCAGAAGCCUGGAAAGCCCACCCAGCGUGGGACCUCUGUGGGUCCAGGAUCUUGGAAUGGUAUCCCAUGGUUCAAUCUUCUGGAUUCAACCACAUAAAUUUACCCCACCCAUGUCGUGGACCCAAGCUUCCUACCAUGUAUACUUAGCUUAAAUGCAAGAUAGUACUAUUUUGUUCAUCUUGAUUGGAGUGAGAAAUGAAUAGGUCCAUGCACAUAUAUUUCUUUUACCACAACAAGAUGAUGAAGAAAUAAAUCCAUAAUAUCGAUACUUUUGUAUAAGUUGUGUUUACAGUUGCGGUAAGAAAUUUUAUAAUUGUUGAUUUGCUUUAUAUAAUUUCUGCUUGCUUUUUAUGAUAUUUAAAACAAAAUCUAAGCAACAAAUUUUAUGUCUGAUUAGAUUUACAGAAGCUGCUUAAGUGCUUAGGGAUAAUUUGUUCAUCAUAUUUGUAAGUCUCCCUUGUUAGGUGUUUGAAGUGUUUGAAUUGGCUAAAUUAAAUUUGUAAUUGUAGUUUGAAAUAUCUAAAGGAAUUUUCUUAAUUAAGUGUUUAAAUGAUGUUAAAAGUUUGUGGGAAUUUAAUCUAUCAAAUUUAUGAGUUAAUUGAAUAUGAAUCAAUGAACAAGUAAAUGUGAUCUUGCUUUUAUAUAAAAACUACUAAGUUCAUAAAUAAAAUACAAAGAUCCAUAAGUUGAGAGGAAAAGCAAAA
rnacentral:lncRNA from 1 species